rnacentral:lncRNA from 1 species
GCAGCGGAAGAGAAAGGAGGAGCGUCCCCUGUUCCGGGAGCAGGGGAAGUUACAACUCCGCCUUCCCCAGCGGGAGGAUCCCCUGUUCCAGGAGCAGGGGAAGCUGCGGGCGGAGCAGAAGAGCAGGCGGAAGGAGGCGGCACACCGGUGACACCAGCCAAGGGGGUGUAGUACGUCACGCCACCACCCGUGAUCUCUCCACACCUCAAUGCCAGCUACGAUGGGAAGCUGCUCCGG